UAUGGAGCUUUAUUUCGUUGAUUAGUUAAAUUUAUAUUUUAAAGUUAAUUAUUUAACGAAAUUUUGUUGGGGCGACAAAGAGAUAAAAAUAACACUCUUUUUAUUAAACAUAAAUAAAUGAAUUAUUGAUCCCUAAAGAAGGAUUAAAAGACUAAGUUACCCUA
rnacentral:rRNA from 1 species